GAAGUAAAUCGCCUUAUCGCUGUCUCGAUUUUUCGAGGUGGAGGAAAGUCCGAACACCAAAGUGCAACAUAGUGGUUAACAGCCACCAGUCGAGAGGCUAGGAAAAGUGCAACAGAAAGAAUGUACAGGUUAUGCUGUAGUGAAAUCAGGUAAACUCUAUGUGGUGCAAUGCCAUGUAAACCAGUGCUUGAGAGUGGCACGUUCGAUGCUGGAGGGUAGGCAGCUAAAGUGUUUUGGUAACAAAACACGCAGAUAAAUGAUAAGGAGGUCUUGUUUUUUUUUAAACUUUAGACUUACAGAAUUCGGCUUAUAGAUUUGCUUAAUUA
rnacentral:RNase_P_RNA from 1 species